rnacentral:rRNA from 1 species
AUGAGCCAUACAAUGAAGCUAUGGGAGAGAGUCAUUGAGCACCGCUUAAGAAGAAUGACAAGCGUGACCAAAAAUCAGUUUGGUUUCAUGCCUGGGAGGUCGACCAUGGAAGCCAUUUUCUUGGUACGACAACUUAUGGAGAGAUAUAGGGAGCAAAAGAAGGACUUGCAUAUGGUGUUCAUUGACUUGGAGAAGGCCUAUGAUAAGAUACCGCGGAAUGUCAUGUGGUGGGCCUUGGAGAAACACAAAGUCCCAGCAAAGUACAUUACCCUCAUCAAGGACAUGUACGAUAAUGUUGUGACAAGUGUUCGAACAAGUGAUGUCGACACUGAUGACUUCCCGAUUAAGAUAGGACUGCAUCAGGGGUCAGCUUUGAGCCCUUAUCUUUUUGCAUUGGUAAUGGAUGAGGUCACAAGGGAUAUACAAGGAGAUAUCCCAUGGUGUAUGCUCUUUGCGGAUGAUGUGGUGCUAGUUGACGAUAGUCGGACGGGGGUAAAUAGGAAGUUAGAGUUAUGGAGACAAACCUUGGAAUCGAAAGGGUUUAGGCUUAGUAGAACUAAAACCGAGUACAUGAUAUGCGGUUUCAGUACUACUAGGUGUGAGGAGGAGGUUAGCCUUGAUGGCCAGGUGGUACCUCAGAAGGACACCUUUUGGUAUUUGGGGUCAAUGCUGCAAGAGGAUGGGGGUAUUGAUGAAGAUGUGAACCAUCGAAUCAAAGCCGGAUGGAUGAAGUGGCGCCAAGCUUCUGGCAUUCUCUGUGACAAGAGAGUGCCACAAAAGCUAAAAGGCAAGUUCUACAGGACGGCGGUUCGACCGCAAUGUUGUAUGGCGCUGAGUGUUGGCCGACUAAAAGGCGACAUGUUCAACAGUUAG